UGGCUCAGAGGUUAAAGUGUCUGCUUGCAAUGCAGGAGACCUGGGUUCGAUCCCUG
rnacentral:tRNA from 1 species